CGGCACUCUGGAGACGCCCGCGACGCGGGGGCCGAAGGUGAAAGCCGGACACGGCGAGGGCUGUGUGCGGUGAAUCUCUCAGGCAAAAGGACAGAGCA
rnacentral:ncRNA from 1 species